UGGGGAAUAUUGCACAAUGGGCGCAAGCCUGAUGCAGCCAUGCCGCGUGUAUGAAGAAGGCCUUCGGGUUGUAAAGUACUUUCAGUCGGGAGGAAGGUGGUAAGGUUAAUAACCUUAUCAAUUGACGUUACCCGCAGAAGAAGCACCGGCUAACUCCGUGCCAGCAGCCGCGGUAAUACGGAGGGUGCAAGCAUUAAUCGGAAUUACUGGGCGUAAAGCGCACGCAGGCGGUUUGUUAAGUCAGAUGUGAAAUCCCCGGGCUCAACCUGGGAACUGCAUCUGAUACUGGCAAGCUUGAGUCUCGUAGAGGGGGGUAGAAUUCCAGGUGUAGCGGUGAAAUGCGUAGAGAUCUGGAGGAAUACCGGUGGCGAAGGCGGCCCCCUGGACGAAGACUGACGCUCAGGUGCGAAAGCGUGGGGAGCAAACAGG
rnacentral:rRNA from 1 species